AUGAACGCUAGCGACAGGCCUAACACAUGCAAGUCGAGGGCAGCACGAAGUAAGCUUGCUUACUUUGGUGGCGACCGGCGCACGGGUGCGUAACAGGUGUGCAAUCUGUCCAUAAUCGGGGAAUAGCCCAGCGAAAGUUGGAUUAAUGCUCCAUGUGAGUUUUAGAGGCAUCUCUUUAAUUUGAAACGUAAGGAUUAUGGGUGAGCACGCUUCUGAUUAGGUAGUUGGUGAGGUAACGGCUCACCAAGCCGACGAUCAGUAGGGGUUCUGAGAGGAAGGUCCCCCACAUUGGAACUGAGACACGGUCCAAACUCCUACGGGAGGCAGCAGUGAGGAAUAUUGGUCAAUGGACGCAAGUCUGAACCAGCCAUGCCGCGUGCAGGAUGACGGCUCUAUGAGUUGUAAACUGCUUUUGUAUGAGGGUAAUAUCAGGUACGUGUACCUGCUUGAAAGUAUCAUACGAAUAAGGAUCGGCUAACUCCGUG
rnacentral:rRNA from 1 species